AGACGGCCGGAUGGCCGCUCUUCGCUUCUCGGAGUGGAGGGAGGAAAGUCCGGGCUCCACGGAAAUACGGUGCCGGGUAACGCCCGGCGGGGGCGACCCUAGGGAAAGUGCCACAGAAAGCAAACCGCCCGCCUUACGGUGGGUAAGGGUGAAAGGGUGCGGUAAGAGCGCACCGCGUUCCUGGCAACAGGGACGGCACGGUAAACCCCACCGGGAGCAAGACCAAAUAGGGACGGCACGCUUGUUUCGGCAAGCCGGCGGAUUUCCGCGCCGCCGUCCGGGUAGGUCGCGCGAGGCGUCCGGUAACGGACGUCCCAGAUGAAUGGUCAUCGUCCGCCGAGCCUUCGGGCAGGGCGGAAACAGAACCCGGCUUACAGGCCGUCUGG
rnacentral:RNase_P_RNA from 1 species